GCUAAAAUCACCGGUUCUCGUCCAAUCACCGAAGUUAAGCCUCAUCCAGCAAAGUCAGUGCUUGGGAGGGUGACCACCAGGAAACACCACG